CUGAACUCCGUGCACCAGGUGCGCCUGUGGGCCACGCGCGAAUAUUGCCACGUCCUCCCCGCUGUGGGUCUCUGACGACAGGGGUACAGCAGCCUGCUGCUGUGACAUCAGCCCGGGCGCCAUUAUGGAGCUUGUAACCAGGACCGUUGCCGUAUAGUAUCGAGAUCCCUCCAAGGCAACAAUAUCUGCCACUGCCUGCCCCGUGCCUACCAAAGAUGGAAGCCCCUCUCUGUGUGUAACCACCAAAAGAGAAGACGUGAGAGUGGUCGGCAGUGACAAGGAUCAUCGUGUCCUGCUCACUGCCACUCUUGAACUAGGUUGCGUCCAUCCAGCCUGGUUCCAGCCUGCUUGGUGUCAGUUGGAUAUUCCUGGUCUGGUGUCCCCUUGGGAAACAUGAACUUGCGGCCACCACCGAGGAUCACCUACGAUCAGAGGGUCUCCUGUAACCCACGCUGACCUCAGAGUCGCUCCAGGGCUGGGGCUACUGAGGAGUUCCUGAUCUUCUGCCUCCAUCUCUGGAGUGCUGGGACGACAGGCAGAUGCUGGCAGGGUCCAGCCACAGAUGUCAUCUAUACCUAAAGGCUAUAGACAACCCACCUCCUCUGGGCCACCUGGAUCCCUCUGCCACCUCAUGUCUGAGGAACCUUGAAUGGGGGAGCAGCAGUGGCUCCUGACUGAUUCUGCCCUACCCCCAUCCCCCACCCUGAUCUCUACGAGACAGCUCACAAAGAGCUUGGUGACAACUCCUAACACUCAGGAAACACAAGGUGUUGCAUCCAGCAGACUUCACUUGAUCAAGUUCCAAGCCCACAGACCCGCCAGGGCUUUGGUAGGCUGGUGUGAAGAUAUGAAGCACCUGGGCACUGAGGUGGGCUGUGUCUAUAAGUCAUCUCUGCCCCCACCCAGCUAGUGACCCUCUUGUCACCUGUGGCACGGCAUCUCUCCUCUCAGGCCAUGUCUGUGUAUGCAUUUAAGGAGCCAGGGGAAAAGGCUCAGCCAUUCCCAUCGCCAUCCUACCUUCCGGACUGAAGGGCCACCAAGGAAGUCCGUCACAUGUGACUAGUGCCGCUCCAUUGAGCAGAUAGGUGAGGUUGCGGAUCUCCGAUACCUGCACUCCCAGCUCCUAGCCUUGGGGGGCCCCUCCACCAUCAUCCUAGAGCUGUCUACAUGGUGACCUGUGAGUUUCCCAUCUCUGCUACAGCCAUGCCUCAGGAGGCAGGGCCGGUGUGACCACAGCUCUCUGCCCUGACCACCUUGGGGAGAGCUGAGUGGUCUCUGCCUGUCUUGAGAAGGAUGUGGCUUGCAACAUAGAGGACAAUGAUGAAUCCUAGGGACUGGCAUCACGUCUGCCUGAGCCAGGCCAGCUGCCACUCUCACAGAUCAGCUUCUCUAGGUGUAGGACAGAUGCUGAACUAGACUUGCGGCCCUCUCCUGGCCUCCACCAAGGUAACUCUCUGCAUUUGGUUCUCUGCAACUUCCAAGUCCAGCUUGGGUCUUUAUCUUCACUGCAGCCUCUGACUGCUGUCUCCCGGCCUCUUUGCUGCACCCACCUUGGCUCUGCCUCUCCAGUCAGCUAAGUGGUAGGGCCUUAGGCAGGGCUGUGUGUGUGUGUGUGUGUGUGUGUGUGUAUACCUCUGGAGACCUGCAGCUUUUGAUCAGAUGGCAGUACCUGGAGAUUGUGACUCACUCUGCUUUGUCUAUUUCCACUCAACUGUCCACUCCUCAGAUGGCUUCCCUCUGACCUCCUAAUCUCCACUACCCACCUCUCCACCUGUCCUCUGUACCCCAGAUGUCCAGGGUUUUUCUUACUAAAAAGUACUGGAGGCAUUACCUUAUAUAAAC